GGUGGAUGGAGUGCAUGGUGUUGGUCCGUGUUACGUGCUGCUGCAGGACUGUGUUUUACUGUCAUUGCAACAGCGCUCACGCCUCACCUUCAGCCAAAGAGCGACGGAGAUCAUAGUACUGACCCCUGACGUCCGUACGGACAUCUCACCAUCGGCCAGCCUCCAAACUCUCCAACAAGC